AUGAGUUUGGGGAGGGGGACCUUUAUAGACGAGAAAACUGUGUCUUUUCACAUGGUCCACUCAAGUCAAAGAGAUUUUCAGUAGCAGAUACCAAUGUAUCCCAGAGGAGUUGUGUUGUCCACACAUUAAAAAAAAUGAUAAACAAGGUGAGUAAAACAGAGGAAGUUAUGAAGUGUUUUUGAUGAUGGUUGUGACUACCUAAAGCAUCUGAAAGAACCAUCUGGGCCCUCAGUGCUUAUUCCCCUUAUUCCCAAAAACACAUCAGUACAUGCAGGAAAAGAGAUGAGAAAGAAGGAAUUUUGUAAUUCCAGGCCCUGAAAUUAAUUUGCCUUAAUCAAUGUUUACAUCAGAGUUUGAGAAAGAUAUUAGAUAGUUAAUGGAUUAUGGAUGAGAAAAAAAAAGUGAAAGCAAGGAAUAAUGACUGAUUUUCAAAGCCCAUUUUCAGAUGAAGAUUAUUUGUCUGCCUGGGAAAAUCUCACAAAGUCAUAGAAAGCCACUUUUUUAAGGAAGAGGAAAUGUGUUGUCAUUUCAUAGAAUAUAACUUCCUGAGUCCUAAAAAGAAAAGAGUAGCUGACCCUAUAAAAAGAGAAGUUUGAGAACUUUUAUGAACAAUAUGAUGAUUUUAAGAUUGUAGCUCUGGAUGAUGACAAAUUGGAGGGUUUCAUUCACAUAGACAGAGUGGACCUGAGUUACUUGAGCAAUCGUUUACACAAAGUUUUGAAUGACUGAUACAAAGAGAAGGCAGCAAAUUGUGUAAAGCUGAAUACUCUUUAAGCCUCUGAGGAUAAAAUUGUCUGCCAGUAAAUGAGAUUGAUGAGUUGGGGGAGGUAGAGAUAAUUCCUAUAGUUCUAAAAGAAGCAAAAGCAAAUUGAUGAAGAAUCCAUUUGCCGUGCAUGCUCACAUUUAUAUAACCAUCUUUAGUUUAUCCAGCAUCAACGAAAGCCCAACAAAUCCAAAAAUGAGAAACAGGAAUAUCUCUCAAUGGCUUACCAAAGAAAGAACUCAACGCAAAUCAAAUUGAAUAUGUGCAGAUGAUUAAUGGCAGGGAUCUGCAAAGGGUAUCAACCCACAUUCUAAAAAUGAAAGCAAAGAAAAUAAAAGAGAAAGAAAGCAAGCUGUAAAAGAGCACAAGAGAAUGGAGAAGAAAGCUAACAAAUGAACCUUCAAACUAGAGAAAAGAAGGCAGGAAAAUGAACUACUGAACCUGAAGAAGAAUGUUGAGGGUCUAAAGUUAUCA
rnacentral:lncRNA from 1 species